rnacentral:rRNA from 1 species
GACGAACGCUGGCGGCGUGCCUAAUACAUGCCAGUAGAACUCCGUUGCGAACGGGUGGGCAACGCGUAGGUAACUGCCUGGUAGCCGAGCAAUACUAUUGGAAACGAUAUAUAAUACCGACUACUACCAGUUGGACAUGCGUUGUCUUAGCUAUGUGGCGGGGUAACGGCUCACCAAGGCAACGGUACAUAGCCGACCUGAGAGGGUGAUCGGCCACACUGGGACUGAGACACGGCCCAGACUCCUACGGGAGGCAGCAGUAGGGAAUCUUCGGCAAUGGACGGAAGUCUGACCGAGAAACGCCGCGUGAGUGAAGAAGGUUUUCGGAUCGUAAAACUCUGUUGUUAGAGAAGCGGUAUCUAACCAGAAAGCCACGGCUAACUACGUGCCAGCAGCCGCGGUAAUUC